AGAGUUUGAUCAUGGCUCAGGAUGAACGCUAGCGACAGGCCUAACACAUGCAAGUCGAGGGGCAUCGGGACGUAGCAAUACGUUGCCGGCGACCGGCGGAUGGGUGAGUAACGCGUAUGCAACCUACCCGUAGCAGGGGGAUAGCCCGUUGAAAGACGGAUUAAUACCCCGUAACACAGGGGCUCCGCAUGGAGAUUAUUGUUAAAGGGUCAUUUCUUUUUCAGGGAUGGUCCGGCUGCGGAUGGGCAUGCGUUCCAUUAGGUAGUUGGUGUAGGUAACUGCUCACCAAGCCGACGAUGGAUAGGGGAACUGAGAGGUUGGUCCCCCACACUGGUACUGAGACACGGACCAGACUCCUACGGGAGGCAGCAGUGAGGAAUUUUGGUCAAUGGACGCAAGUCUGAACCAGCCAUGUCGCGUGAAGGAGGACGGCCCUAAGGGUUGUAAACUUCUUUUGCAGCGGAAUAAAGUUUGCCACGUGUUGGCGAUUUGCAAGUACGCUGCGAAUAAGGAUCGGCUAACUCCGUGCCAGCCGCCGCGGUAAUAC
rnacentral:rRNA from 1 species